CGUCCCCGCCCGGCGCGGAGGCUGCGGCGCGUCCAUGCGGCCCCGGCUCCGGACCGCAGACCCGCAGCGAGCGCGGGGCGGCGCGGGAUGGGGAAGCUGCAGUCCAAGCUCGCCUGCAAGCGGAGGGGGAGCCCGGAAGGGGACAGCUCUGCGGGGUCCGCGUUCGCCGGCGGCCGCCAGGGCGCGGAGGAGGCGGAGCGGCGCGCUGCAGGCGGCCUGGAGCACCGCGCGCGGGACAAGCAGGUAGGCGGCCCGCGGGCCGGAGAUGCGGGCCCAGUGGCCGGGCGGGAGAUGUUCCGGGGACCAGGACAGCCUGUCCCUACACGGCCUCCAGGAUGUCCCAGGCUGCGGUGUCCCGUGCUGAGGGGGGCGGGGUAUAGCGGUUCUGAGGUCCUAGUCUGGGGGAGGUGUCUAUGUUUGAGGCUACAGGAGCUUGGAAAGGGGCAGAGAGGAGGGUCUGGGCCUAGGUGCCCCAGGCAGGGCUCCUGUGGGGCCGGACCU